rnacentral:rRNA from 1 species
GAUGAACGCUAGCGGGAGGCCUAACACAUGCAAGCCGAGCGGUAUUGUUUCUUCGGAAAUGAGAGAGCGGCGUACGGGUGCGGAACACGUGUGCAACCUGCCUUUAUCUGGGGGAUAGCCUUUCGAAAGGAAGAUUAAUACUCCAUAAUAUAUUGAACGGCAUCGUUUAAUAUUGAAAGCUCCGGCGGAUAGAGAUGGGCACGCGCAAGAUUAGCUAGUUGGUGAGGUAACGGCUCACCAAGGCGAUGAUCUUUAGGGGGCCUGAGAGGGGGAUCCCCCACACUGGUACUGAGACACGGACCAGACUCCUACGGGAGGCAGCAGUGAGGAAUAUUGGUCAAUGGGUGCAAGCCUGAACCAGCCAUCCCGCGUGAAGGACGACUGCCCUAUGGGUUGUAAACUUCUUUUGUAUAGGGAUAAACCUACCCUCGUGAGGGUAGCUGAAGGUACUAUACGAAUAAGCACCGGCUAACUCCGUGCCAGCAGCCGCCGUAAUAC